rnacentral:lncRNA from 1 species
AAAAACAUACUAAGCAUUAUUAAUAUGCUAGCAAAGGAAAGUUAAACAUAACAACAUGAACUGAAUUAACCAGUGCACACGACUAGAAAAAAAACAAACAUCAUUUGACAUCGAGUUUCUAAUUAAAUCAUGGCUGCAACAGGGCAGCGUUAUUAUAAUAGUUAAGGUGGACGUGCUGCUACUUCCCUCAUUCCCAACAUGAAUCAAAUACCUGCAUUGAGUAAUGCAAGAGUGAGAUGAUACAUCUCAGCAAGCAAAUUAUUUUGACGAGAUAUUUAAACCACAAAUUGAAUUAAACAACAUUUUAAAGGAAUCCCAAUUGAGAUCAGAAAUACUUGUAGAUAUAGAACUCAAUAGUCCCAAUAUAACCAAUAUCAUCUCAUUUCCUCGAACAACCACAAUAGGUUGUAUAACCCUUCCCUGCGUCAACAAUACCUGCAGAUAUCACUUCAAUGUAUGCAUAGGAAUGCAAUGUGUAGGUCAUCUGCCCUCAUACCUCUGAGAGUAUAAAACCAUAUCAUCUGCUAAUAUCACUUCAAUGAAUGCAUAUAAAUGCAAUGCAUAUGUCCUCUGCCUUCAUACCUCUAAGGGUAUGAAGCCGCAUCGUACCCCUCCUCGGGCAACGUACGAUGCUAAGUUGUACCGGUACGGUCGGACCAUAGGUCACGACCAAACUUCAGAUGCAAAUGAAUAAUGUAAUGCAUAUGGCAUGCUGCAUUUAUCAAUAUACUUCACUUCCUUCAGAUACAAAACAAACCUCAAAUAAUACUUCAUCUGCCUUCAGAUACAAUACAAACCUCAAAUAAUACUUUAUCUGCCUUCAGGGGUGUAAAUUAAUCUCAUGGGUCAUACUCGAACCAUAAUCAUCAUCAAUAUAUGAUUGAGCAUCAGUAUAAUACAAGCAAGUAAAGCAUCACCAUAGAGUUCAAUUAUGAAAGAAUUCCAUAAUUCUGAAUAUUAGAGCGUAGGCGAUAAAAAAACAACAAGUCAAAACGGUAGCAACCACUGCUACAUUCACUUGCCUUCAUCGAAGAAGAAAGAUGUACUAGGCAUGAUCCGGAGUGUAGCCACCUGCUAGCGGGCAUAAAAAUUAGUACAAAUAUUUCACAAAUAUUUGCUAACAAUCAACAAAUCGCUCAUACACUUGAAACCAAAUCCCGGUGGAAAGACUCCCACCCUGAACCACAUGCCAAACAGCAGCAGCGCUGUUUGUUAAUUUUGUAUCUUUAAAAUUAUAACAGUGGUGAUACUAAACAAAUACUCUAUAAGUGUCUACACAAAAUAUUCUAUAACUUCGGUAUUCAAUGGAUAAUUAAAUUCUGCCAUCUAUAAGUUCUAAAACAUCUGAUAAGAUAAAUGUCUGAAUCUGUUUUAGACAGCAGCAUAGUUAACUUCAAAAUUCAAUAUCUACCAAACUACUCAACCAAAAAUUAUGAAAUUCUGCUGGCAGUAAGAACUUUUAUCCCUCUACAAAUGUCUUCAUAGUUGGAACAGCCAAUUUGGCUAUUUACUAUAUGAAACUCACCAGUGAACAGACCCGCUCAUUUUUGUCAGGCAAACAGAAACAGUCACAGUAAAACAAACAUAACUGGACUUUCAUAAUUCAUAUGAAUGCGCUCUUUAACAAUCUGGAAAGCUUAUGAAAUUGUCUACGACUUCUUUUACAAUCCUAAAGUUUAAUUCUGUUGAUAAAAUUGCCUAAAGCUUAAGAGAACAGAUUUUGUACAGAAUUAUGAGACUGAAAAACUGCUAUAAUCAAACUGCAAUAACUUUCUGAUCUGAUAUCCGAUUGAGGUGUUCUUCACGGCCACGGAAAGAUCUACAAAUUAUCUACGACUCAUAGAUAGACUUUUUAUUUUUUUGAGGCCACUAAGACCACGGAAAACUGGAAUGAACAGAAACUAUUGAAUCUGCCAUUCUGCAGAAACUAAUUUCGAGAUUAAAAUCUAAUCUCCCAUCCAAUCUAACCAAAAAAACUAAAUGCAGGGCCUAAAACUCAUCCAAAACAAGGGAAAACAUUCAUCAAGUGGAUAAAAGAGAGAGAGGAAAGGAAAUCCAACCAAUUCUUGGAGAGGAACGACGAUUAUGGGCGACGGUAUGCCCUCAUCUCCCCUCUCUUCUCUUCUUUUUUUCUUCCUCUCUUCUCUUGGGGCAAGGCACAAAAGGGUGACGGC